rnacentral:rRNA from 1 species
AGGGUAGCGUAGGCGGCUGAUUAAGUCAGCGGUGAAAGGUAGCAGCUUAACUGUUUUACAUGCCGUUGAUACUGGUUAGCUUGAGUUGACAGAAGGCAGAUAGAAUUCCUGGUGUAGCGGUGAAAUGCUUAGAUACCAGGAGGAAUACCGAUUGCGAAGGCAGUCUGCUGCAGUCACACUGACGCUGAGGCUCGAAGGUGCGGGGAUCAAACAGGAUUAGAUACCCGUGU